rnacentral:lncRNA from 1 species
GACAUUCUUCUGCACCAAAAUGGGUAAUCUAUGCUUCAUUCACACUCUUUGUCCUUUCAGCACCCCUGGCCUGUGUUCUUGCUGCUCUCAUUUUUAUCGUGACUGUAUAUAAAGCUGUGCAGUCACUCCUUUGGGUGGAACACCGUGAACAGUGACAUGAAUGCAGCCCAGAGAGGUCUUCUUCCAUUUGUGUCCUUUGGAUUAGCUGCAUUUGCUGCCACCUUGUCUGCCUUGGGAUUAGGUUUAGGAAUAACCAUAACUGCUAGGAUGUUGUUUUCUAUCCAGAUAAAAAUAAUUCUUAGAAACAAAACUUCUAUUGAAUCAUCAUUGAAGAGAAGGCUAAAGAUUGAAUUCAAUAUUACCAACUAGAUGAAAUUUUUGUUUUUCCUUAUGAUAUGGGAAGUAAAUGAAAGAACUUUAAAUAGAUAUUUACAUUGUUAAGGGUCCCUGAAAGAGAUGGAUUGGAGUGGCCAAUAAGAGAAUGCUGUCACCAGUACAACUUAACAAUAGAGCAGUUGAAAUGAAAAGUGAGAGUCAGAAGUGUUGGUUGUAAAGUCAUACAAGAUUAUACCGGUGCCUGCUGUCCUUCAACAAAAUGAAUCAAAGCCUUCUUCACAAGUCCUUGUGCUGAGAGACUAUAAAAAGGGGGAUUCAUUUUAGCCACAAAAGAGUUCUGGUGCUGAUUGUAUGGAGACAGAAUUCUGGAUGAUUGUAGAUGGUGUUUUAAGAAUAAGAGGAUGGAGGACUGGGGCUGGGGCUCAGCAGUAGAGCAUUCUCUUAGCACAUACAAGGCGCUGGGUUCCAUCCUCAGCACCACAUAAAACUAAAGAAAUAAAAUAAAGGUAUUGUGUCCAAUUACAACUAAAUGUGUGUGUAUGUGUGUGUGUGUGUUUUUUAAAGAAUAAGGAUGGUGUCAGAAAAGGUCCCUAUGGGGCUGGGGUUGUGGCUCAGCGGUAGAGUACUUGCCUAGCGUGUGUGAGGCCCUGAGUACGAUCCUCAGCACCACAUAAAAAUAAAUAAAUAAAGGUAUUAAAAAAAAAAAAAAAGGAAAGAAAAGGCUCCCUAUGAUGCUGAAACAGAUCCAGCCCCAGAGGAUGAGAAG